CGGAGAGUUUGAUCCUGGCUCAGGAUGAACGCUGGCGGCGUGCCUAAUACAUGCAAGUCGAACGCUUUGUGGUUCAACUGAUUUGAAGAGCUUGCUCAGAUAUGACGAUGGACAUUGCAAAGAGUGGCGAACGGGUGAGUAACACGUGGGAAACCUACCUCUUAGCAGGGGAUAACAUUUGGAAACAGAUGCUAAUACCGUAUAACAAUAGCAACCGCAUGGUUGCUACUUAAAAGAUGGUUCUGCUAUCACUAAGAGAUGGUCCCGCGGUGCAUUAGUUAGUUGGUGAGGUAAUGGCCCACCAAGACGAUGAUGCAUAGCCGAGUUGAGAGACUGAUCGGCCACAAUGGGACUGAGACACGGCCCAUACUCCUACGGGAGGCAGCAGUAGGGAAUCUUCCACAAUGGGCGAAAGCCUGAUGGAGCAACGCCGCGUGUGUGAUGAAGGGUUUCGGCUCGUAAAACACUGUUGUAAGAGAAGAAUGACAUUGAGAGUAACUGUUCAAUGUGUGACGGUAUCUUACCAGAAAGGAACGGCUAAAUACGUGCCAGCAGCCGCGGUAAUACGUAUGUUCCAAGCGUUAUCCGGAUUUAUUGGGCGUAAAGCGAGCGCAGACGGUUAUUUAAGUCUGAAGUGAAAGCCCUCAGCUCAACUGAGGAAUUGCUUUGGAAACUGGAUGACUUGAGUGCAGUAGAGGAAAGUGGAACUCCAUGUGUAGCGGUGAAAUGCGUAGAUAUAUGGAAGAACACCAGUGGCGAAGGCGGCUUUCUGGACUGUAACUGACGUUGAGGCUCGAAAGUGUGGGUAGCAAACAGGAUUAGAUACCCUGGUAGUCCAUGCCGUAAACGAUGAGUG
rnacentral:rRNA from 1 species